rnacentral:rRNA from 1 species
GAAUAUUGCGCAAUGGCCGAAAGGCUGACGCAGCGACGCCGCGUGUGGGAGGAAGCCCUUCGGGGUGUAAACCACUGUCAGGCGGGAAGAAACCCGAGCGGACGAAUAGCCCGUUCGGCUGCCGGUCCCUCCAGAGGAAGCGCCGGCCAACUCCGUGCCAGCAGCCGCGGUAAGACGGAGGGCGCAAGCGUUGUUCGGAAUUACUGGGCGUCAAGCGCGGGCAGGCGGUCCUUUAAGUCCUUUGUGAAACUCCGGUGGCUCAACCCCGGACAUGCGUAGGAUACUGGAGGACUGGAGAGCGGUAGAGGCGAGUGGAAUUCCUGGUGUAGCGGUGGAAUGCGUAGAUAUCAGGAAGAACACCGGUGGCGAAGGCGGCUCGCUGGGCCGGUUCUGACGCUCAUCCGCGAAAGCGUGGGGAGCAAACAGG